UACGUAGGGUGCGAGCGUUGUCCGGAAUUACUGGGCGUAAAGAGCUCGUAGGUGGUUUGUCGCGUUGUUCGUGAAACUCACAGCCUUAACUGUGGGCGUGCGGGCGAUACGGGCAGACUGGAAGUACUGCAGGGGAGACUGGAAUUCCUGGUGUAGCGGUGGAAUGCGCAGAUAUCAGGAGGAACACCGGUGGCGAAGGCGGGUCUCUGGCAGUAACUGACGCUGAGGAGCGAAAGCGUGGGGAGCGAACAGG
rnacentral:rRNA from 1 species